AUGGCACAAAGGACACCUGUACAGGCGUACUGUAACUGGAAACAACUGCUACUCACAACACAUCAGCACUGCACAGUGUUGAGCAGCGGCUUUCGUAUCUACAUACUUGAUACCGCUGUACCAUCUGAAGGGGAGGAGCAUGCCACACCUCGUUCUCGGCCUGCAGAAUCCCUGCGAACAAGCCAAAUGCUAUACACAGGUGCUGGGGCUCAUACGGUGCUGUCCUACGUUCAAGAUCACCAACGAAGCUCCGGAUGUUGAAGUGCACCCUGCUCGUGCAUGUGGUGGCAAACUGAUACUUGCAGAAGCUGUGGAGCAACAGAGUGAAGUAGGA